UCAAAGAUUAAGCCAUGCAUGUCUGAGUAUAAACAACUUUAUACCGUGAAAAUGCGAANGGCUCAUUAAAUCAGUUAUAGUUUAUUUGAUAAUGCCAGUACUACAUGGAUAACCGUAGUAAUUCUAGAGGUAAUACAUGCGAAAAAACCCGACUUCUGGAAGGGUGGUGUUUUUUUGAUAAAAAACCAAUACGGGGCAACCCGGUUUUUGGUGAGUCAUAAUAACUUUCUGGACCGCUAUGGCCUCGAGCCG
rnacentral:rRNA from 1 species